rnacentral:rRNA from 1 species
UAGAGUUUGAUCCUGGCUCAGGAUGAACGCUAGCGACAGGCUUAACACAUGCAAGUCGAGGGGCAGCGGGGCAGGAAGCUUGCUUUCUGCCGCCGGCGACCGGCGCACGGGUGAGUAACACGUAUGCAACCUGGCCGUGACAGAUGGAUAACCGGGAGAAAUCCCGCCUAAUACAGCAUGACGCCGGGAAGGGACAUCCCUUUCCGGCCAAAGGGGGCGACUCCGGUCACGGAUGGGCAUGCGGCGCAUUAGGUAGUUGGUGGGGCAACGGCCCACCAAGCCGACGAUGCGUAGGGGUUCUGAGAGGAAGGUCCCCCACAUUGGAACUGAGACACGGUCCAAACUCCUACGGGAGGCAGCAGUGAGGAAUAUUGGUCAAUGGCCGGAAGGCUGAACCAGCCAAGUCGCGUGAGGGAAUAAGGCCCUACGGGUCGUAAACCUCUUUUGUCAGGGAGCAAGGCCGCCCACGUGUGGACGGAAGGAGAGUACCUGGAGAAAAAGCAUCGGCUAACUCCGUGCCAGCAGCCGCGGUAAUACGGAGGAUGCGAGCGUUAUCCGGAUUUAUUGGGUUUAAAGGGUGCGUAGGCGGCCUGCCAAGUCAGCGGUAAAAUUGCGGGGCUCAACCCCGUACAGCCGUUGAAACUGCCGGGCUCGAGUGGGCGAGAAGUAUGCGGAAUGCGUGGUGUAGCGGUGAAAUGCAUAGAUAUCACGCAGAACCCCGAUUGCGAAGGCAGCAUACCGGCGCCCUACUGACGCUGAGGCACGAAAGUGCGGGGAUCAAACAGGAUUAGAUACCCUGGUAGUCCGCACAGUAAACGAUGAAUGCUAGCUGUCCGGGGGGAUUGACCCCUGGGUGGCACAGCGAAAGCGUUAAGCAUUCCACCUGGGGAGUACGCCGGCAACGGUGAAACUCAAAGGAAUUGACGGGGGCCCGC